rnacentral:rRNA from 1 species
AUUGAACGCUGGCGGCAUGCUUUACACAUGCAAGUCGAACGGUAACAGGCCGCAAGGUGCUGACGAGUGGCGAACGGGUGAGUAAUGCAUCGGAACGUGCCCAGUCGUGGGGGAUAACUAUCCGAAAGGAUAGCUAAUACCGCAUACGAUCUGCGGAUGAAAGCGGGGGACCUUCGGGCCUCGCGCGAUUGGAGCGGCCGAUGUCAGAUUAGGUAGUUGGUAGGGUAAAGGAUCACCAAGCCAACGAUCUGUAGCUGGUCUGAGAGGACGACCAGCCACACUGGGACUGAGGAACGGCCCAGACUCCUACGGGAGGCAGCAGUGGGGAAUUUUGGACAAUGGGCGCAAGCCUGAUCCAGCAAUGCCGCGUGCAGGAAGAAGGCCUUCGGGUUGUAAACUGCUUUUGUACGGAACGAAACGGCUCUGGUUAAUACCUGGGGCUAAUGACGGUACCGUAAGAAUAAGCACCGGCUAACUACGUGCCAGCCGCCGCCGUAA